CAGUAGCCACGAUAAUACGAAGGGUGCAAGCGUUACUCGGAAUUACUGGGCGUAAAGCGUGCGUAGGUGGUGGUUUAAGUCCGUUGUGAAAGCCCUGGGCUCAACCUGGGAAUUGCAGUGGAUACUGGGUCACUAGAGUGUGGUAGAGGAUAGUGGAAUUUCCGGUGUAGCAGUGAAAUGCGUAGAGAUCGGAAGGAACAUCUGUGGCGAAGGCGACUAUCUGGGCCAACACUGACACUGAGGCACGAAAGCGUGGGGAGCAAACAGGAUUAGAUACCCCCGUAGUCCCUGUCUCUUAUAC
rnacentral:rRNA from 1 species